GACGAACGCUGGCGGCGUGCUUAACACAUGCAAGUCGAACGGUGAACCUCUUCGGAGGGGAUCAGUGGCGAACGGGUGAGUAACACGUGGGCAACCUGCCCCCGGCUCUGGGAUAACUCCAAGAAAUUGGGGCUAAUACCGGAUGUUCACCGCUUCCCGCAUGGGUGGUGGUGGAAAGGGUUUCCGGCUGGGGAUGGGCCCGCGGCCUCUCAGCUUGUUGGUGGGGUAGGGGCCUACCAAGGCGACGACGGGUAGCCGGCCUGAGAGGGUGACCGGCCACACUGGGACUGAGACACGGCCCAGACUCCAACGGGAGGCAGCGGGGGGGAAUAUUGCGCAAUGGGCGGAAGCCUGACGCAGCGACGCCGCGUGGGGGAUGACGGCCUUCGGGUUGUAAACCUCUUUCAGCAGGGACGAAGCGCAAGUGACGGUACCUGCAGAAGAAGCACCGGCCAACUACGUG
rnacentral:rRNA from 1 species